rnacentral:rRNA from 1 species
UACGAGGGGGGCGAGCGUUGUUCGGAUUUAUUGGGCGUAAAGGGCGCGUAGGCGGUUUCUUAAGUUUGAAGUGACAGUGGGUGGCUUAACUACCCAAGGCCUUUGAAAACUGGGGAACUUGAGGACCAGAGAGGGACAUAGAAUUCCGGGUGGAGUGGUGAAAUGCGUAGAUAUCCAGAGGAAUACCAAAGGCGAAGGCAGUGUCCUGGAGGGUUAACUGACGCUGAGGCGCGAAAGCUAGGGGAGCGAACAGG